CAAAGAAUAUGUAGAAUUCAAUGUUUGAUGUAAUGUAAUAAAGUUGAAAUUUGGACCGUUUUUGUUCAAUGUGGACCAAUUUGGUAACAUGUAUAAAUAAUCAAAAAUCUAAAUACAUGGGAGCCCAUUUAAAUACAUCAUAAAGGUAUUAAAAUAGAAAGUGACAUCAUAGUCAUGGCUAAAAAUAAACAAAAAUCCUUAAUCAGCAACAUUUAAAGUAAUAUCUAAUAAAAUGCUUCGCUGGGGCGCAGCUUGAUACGACCGUAGAGGUCAAACCCUGAACAGUUGGGGCAAGUAUGGACACAACAUUCAAGCUUGAUACAGCACUGAAUUUGGAUUGUAAUUAAAUAUUUGACACAGCAUAGGUUUCUGACACAGAAUGAAAGUGGUCUAAGAACUUAUAAUUUUUUAAUUUACCUAUUCAUACAUGUGAUGGACUGUGAAACUCAGAUCAGGAGAUUGGGAAAUUUUGGUCAGGAGAUUAGGAUCCAGAUCAGGAGGUUUUUAAUCGACAUAAAUUUUGUCGUAAAUGUAACCGUGUGCUGUAAAAAUGGUCUUUUAAAGUGUGUUUUCUUCAACUUUCCAUCCAAUUUAUUAUGUUUAUAGUACCCUUGUACUUAUAAAGUUUCUCCAUCUUUAUAUUUUACAUGUUCAAUCUAACAUUUUUUUUCUUCAGUAUGUUCUUUAAAUUUUUUACUUCAUAUUCUAUAAAACAUUUAUUGCAACCAGAACGUUUGUUUAACUAUCUGCAAAUAGCUUUAGUUUGCAUACUCAGAAAAUCAUUCUAACUGUAAAACAAGGGUCAUAGUUAUUAUAUAAAUUUCAAUUUAAGCCUUGAAAGGAAGUAUAGAAUCCUCAAAUAAUUUUCAAAUUAUUAUUUUUUUAUUUGUCCUAAGACAUUUAAAAUCAUUUAUUUACCAUCCUUUUAUGAUUAUUUGUUCAAUUUAUAUUUUAUUUAUAUUCUUUUAAAAGUUUUCAUUAUUAAAAGGAAAGUAACUUAAAACAGGAUAAAUCAAGGGAAGUAACCCAAUAAAUACACAGUUUUUGUUACACAACGGCAGUUAGCCUGAGGUAAAAAAUCAUUGAUUACCAGUAUGUUUGACACCCAAGCUGACAAGUGAAGCCAUAUAAUUAUGCAUGUUAAUUGAUUUACAGGUAAAAUAUAACUUCAGGUAAUGUGAGUUACACCAGAUACCUGAGAUGAUAUGUUGGGCAGAAAUUUUUCAUUCAUGAAAAAUUUCAUACACGGGAUUAUAAUUUUCCUCUUCAACCUCGGGAGGAGACUCCUGAAAACAGGAUUACUGUACUCCUGUUGGGAGGUUCACAUGUAUGCUAUUCAAACCAUAUCAUUAUUAUUUGCUUUUAUAUAUAAAUCAGAAAUAACCAAUUUAAAAUGGAAAA